UAAACCGGUCGUAUCUCCAAAAGAGAUAUGAAAGGAGGUGAUGGUUUUGAGUUACCUUUUCGAGCUCUUACUUAGUGUCCUGGCAAAUGUAUUGGCCUAUUUCAUUUGCAAAUGGCUAGACGCUAAGGACAAAAGCGAUAGCUAGCCUGUAAACACCCGUUAAAUCUAAUUAGAUACGUCAAAAAAUCCCAAGAGAACGGCCAUUCUCUUGGGAUUUGGUGUAGUUUUAAG
rnacentral:sRNA from 1 species